rnacentral:rRNA from 1 species
AUUGAACGCUGGCGGCAGGCCUAACACAUGCAAGUCGAGCGGAUGAAGGGAGCUUGCUCCUGGAUUCAGCGGCGGACGGGUGAGUAAUGCCUAGGAAUCUGCCUGGUAUUGGGGGAUAACGUCCGGAAACGGGCGCUAAUACCGCAUACGUCCUGAGGGUGAAAGUGGGGGAUCUUCGGACCUCACGCUAUCAGAUGAGCCUAGGUCGGAUUAGCUAGCUGGUGGGGUAAAGGCCUACCAAGGCGACGAUCCGUAACUGGUCUGAGGGGAUGAUCAGUCACACUGGAACUGAGACACGGUCCAGACUCCUACGGGAGGCAGCAGUGGGGAAUAUUGGACAAUGGGCGAAAGCCUGAUCCAGCCAUGCCGCGUGUGUGAAGAAGGUCUUCGGAUUGUAAAGCACUUUAAGUUGGGAGGAAGGGCAGUAAGUUAAUACCUUGCUGUUUUGACGUUACCAACAGAAUAAGCACCGGCUAACUUCGUG